GACGAACGCUGGCGGCGUGCCUAAUACAUGCAAGUAGAACGCUGAAGGAGGAGCUUGCUUCUCCGGAUGAGUUGCGAACGGGUGAGUAACGCGUAGGUAACCUGCCUGGUAGCGGGGGAUAACUAUUGGAAACGAUAGCUAAUACCGCAUAACAGUAGAUGUUGCAUGACAUUUGCUUAAAAGGUGCAAUUGCAUCACUACCAGAUGGACCUGCGUUGUAUUAGCUAGUUGGUGAGGUAACGGCUCACCAAGGCGACGAUACAUAGCCGACCUGAGAGGGUGAUCGGCCACACUGGGACGGAGACACGGCCCAGACUCCUACGGGAGGCAGCAGUAGGGAAUCUUCGGCAAUGGACGGAAGUCUGACCGAGCAACGCCGCGUGAGUGAAGAAGGGUUUCGGAUCGUAAAGCUCUGUUGUAAGAGAAGAACGAGUGUGAGAGUGGAAAGUUCACACUGUGACGGUAUCUUACCAGAAAGGGACGGCUAACUACGUG
rnacentral:rRNA from 1 species